CCACCGACACUAUAAUUACAUCACUAACACCACUACUACCACUACCACCAUCACCUGUACAAUCAUUACUAUUACUAACACAUACACACACACACACACACACAGACGCACGCACACAUACUACUAUCACCGCCACAACCGCGACUACCACCUCCACCAUCAUUAACUACCUUUUCAUAACCACCACCGCUGAUACCAUCAUACCCAGCCCCAAUACCACCAUCGCUACCACCACCAAUUACACGUUCACAACCACCACCACUACCAUUACUAACACCUUUUACAAACACCAACACGAUCGCAUUCAAUUAUACCUCCACAACCACCACGACAUUCAGCCCCAUUAUCACCAUCACCACCACCACCACCACCACCAUUUACACGGUCACAAACACCACCACCGCCACCGCUACCACUACCAUUAUUAACACCAAUAUCAACAGCCAGCCACUCAGCCAGUCACAUUACAAAUUUCACAAGAAACAACAACAAAACCCCCCGAAGAAGCCCCGAUGCCUAUUUGAUACAGCUCGACCAAUCAGCGUUGCUUAGUUUUGUUAGUGGCUUUCCAUAUAAAGCAGAGAGUUGAAGACACGACCAAAUGGAAGAAAGGUGAUCGAUUUUAUUCAGGUUACCGACCCAGCCUGUUAUCACUCCGUUGUGUAUACACCUCUUGUUUAUUUUUUCUUCUCUGACGUUGUAAUAUGUAAAACAUACAAGCACACGUACACAAAAAAAACUCACUCUCGGACAGACUUGCACACACACGCACGCACACAUACACAUACACAUACACACACGCACACACACACAUUUGCUAAAAGGAAAAAUGUAUGACAAAAGAAAACUUCAUCUUAGAGGAAACUUCCUACAAAAAUAGCAUCAAAGUACAAAAAUAUUGAGCAAUAAUAUGCAAACUGAGUAAGAUUUACACACACACACACAUAUAAACAUAUACAUACAUACAUACAUACAUACAGGCAAAAAGACAGACAUGACAACUGAGUUUAUAUCGUCCAAAUUUCAAUGAAAGAACCCGUGUUUAUGGGUUCAAGACCGCGUCUUUCUCUUAAUGGCUAAAGAAUUUUAAGAUAUGAGAAACCGACAGACAUUUCCAUAGGAAGCUAAAA